rnacentral:rRNA from 1 species
UACGGAGGAUGCAAGCGUUAUCCGGAAUUAUUGGGCGUAAAGCGUCCGUAGGUGGCUUAUCAAGUCUGCUGUCAAAGCGUGCGCUUAACGCAUACGGGCAGUGGAAACUGAUGAGCUAGAGUGCGAUAGGGGUAACAGGAAUUCCCAGUGUAGCGGUGAAAUGCGUAGAUAUUGGGAAGAACGACCAGCGGCGGAAAGCGUGUUACUGGGUCUGACACUGACACUGGAGGGACGAAAGCUAGGGGGAGCGAAAGGG